AAAAAUGUUUUAAACCCAAUGAGAAUGGGAAACUUGAUUGUACUGGCUGGUAUCAAACCACCCCACGUUAGCAGUAACUUCAGGUAAGGAUACGGCUUGUCCGAAGUAGACAUACGCAGGAGGACAGAAGGGAAAACAUCUAUCAAGUUUUCAGAGUCUCCACUAAUGGUCCUGAUUUCUGAAGGAGUCUGGAACAUCCUUCUCCAUGCUGGCAUACAUCAGUUCUUCUCCGGAGGUUCCUUUCUUCCAUUCGGAUCUGGGCUGCUCACACUGGAAGCCUCCUCCCUGCUUUCAUCUGGCAGCACCUC